rnacentral:snRNA from 1 species
GUGCCUGCUUUGGCAGCACAUAAACUAAAAUUGGAAUGAUACACAGAAGAUUAGCAUGGCCCCUAUGCAAGGAUGACACGCAAAUUCUUGAAGCAUUCUAGAAAAAA